rnacentral:rRNA from 1 species
UAAAUGAAAAACGAAUAACUUCAGGGAAGAAGGGAACCUGCACGGUGACCUCCCCUGUCGGGCCACCCAAUACCUUCAAAAUGCCGCCGUCCUAGCGGUGGCAGACGAAAAAAAAAACAAGAAAAACAAAAUAGAAACAGGCACGGUGGCCCGUUCACCUUCACACAACCCUCCGAGUACCGCUUCCAUGUUGCUUCCCCGCAAAUCCACCUCUUUGGUGAGCGCGGGGGAGGUCCGCAUCAAAUUCACCUGAAUGUCACAGCAGUCAGACAGCCAUUCAUGGAAACAAUAAAACUUUCAACAACGGAUCUCUUGGUUCCCGCAUCGAUGAAGAACGCAGCGAAAUGCGAUAAGUAAUGUGAAUUGCAGAAUUCAGUGAAUCAUCGAAUCUUUGAACGCACAUUGCGCCCUCUGGUAUUCCGGGGGGCAUGCCUGUUCGAGCCUCAAUGAAAAAUCUCCUCCGAUGCUGGUGUCUUCCGGCACAUGGGGGGUUCUGGCGGAUGCCCACACCCUCAACUGUGUGCGCGCUGCCCAAAUCCGAUGUCCGCGAGCCUGAGGAUUGCAGCCGAUGUAGUGAGAUUCAAUCUCGUUGUCUGUAAAACCUGACAGAG